GUACUCGCUUCGGCGGCAUAUAUACUAAAAUUGGAACGAUACAGAGAAGAUUAGCAUGGCCCCUUCGCAAGGAUGACCCCAUUUUUAACUAUUAAGAGUGGUACAAUUGG